GCAUUGAAAUAUAAAAACUACUUAUAUUAUGAAACAAACAUUUUUUGCUAAAACUACUUACAAUAUAAAACGGAGAGAGUAGUUUUCUCUUUCUUCAUUUUUCUACCAUAGUUUCUACUUCGCAUCCUCUAUCCUCGUAACUUCCACUUUCUCCUCCUCUCGACUAACCACCACCACCACCACUGUAUCGACCACAAUAUGAUAACCACCGCAACUUCCACUCUAGUAUCCACCGCCAUCACGACCACCACCUCCGUAUCCACAACUUAUGUAUCCAUAACCACCACCACCUCAACCUCUGUAUCCCUCACUCUCACGUCUUCUACCUCCAUUAUAUCCACCACCAUCUCCUCCUCUCGACAUAACCAUCUACGACGCUUUACUCAUAAUGCAUAUGUCCAAGAAGCUCUCCAUGACCAACACAAUUAAGAAAAAAAAAGAUGUUUCAGAAAGCAAAAGAAAAAUCGCUUAACAAAACCAGCAAAUCUUUAAUAGAAUUUCUUCUAGCCAUUACUACAAUUGGG
rnacentral:lncRNA from 1 species